UACGGGGGGGGCAAGCGUUGUUCGGAUUUACUGGGCGUAAAGGGCGCGUAGGCGGCCAGCACAAGUCAGUUGUGAAAUCUCCGGGCUUAACUCGGAAAGGUCAACUGAUACUGUGCGACUAGAGUGCAGAAGGGGCAACUGGAAUUCUCGGUGUAGCGGUGAAAUGCGUAGAUAUCGAGAGGAACACCUGCGGCGAAGGCGGGUGCUGGGCUGACACUGACGCUGAUGCGCGAAAGCGUGGGGAGCGAACG
rnacentral:rRNA from 1 species